rnacentral:sRNA from 1 species
GGGGAGGGGGGUCCGACCCAGCGCGGACCUCGCAGGAGACACCUCGCCCGCCCCGGUCCGGUCCGCGGGGGCAUGCGAGGCAGGGGAGGGGGCGCGCCCGGGGCUCCCACCGACCUCGCCCGGGCGCAAGGGCCGGAGCCCCCGGGUUCCCGAGCCUCGGAGCCGCCGCGGCUGUGCUGCCGCCCUGUGGCCGCCGCCCGCACUGCGCCUCGGGCCCGGCCGCGCUCCAGCGCGUGCACCCCGCACUCCGCCCUGCCCCGGACCCCGCCCUGCCCCGGACCUCCGCGGGCCCCGAGUCUUCCUACCAGCCCCUCGGCCCCAGGGAGGCGGGCAGACAGGGCGGGCGCCGGGGUCGACGGCGGGGCCAUGUGGGCUUUGCUAGCUCGGGAGCGGGGCGGGGUGGGAGGCUGCGGGGAGCCGGGCCCCAAUGCCCGGAGGUCAGGGGCGCCCUGGGGCAGAGGAAGCGGCAGGUACCCCUUAGCGACUCUUGGCUUCUGCAGCCCCCAGAAGGACCCCCAGACGAGGGUCUGGAAAAGUGACCCCUUCAUAGUCCUAAACAAGCAGUUGGCAAUGGUGUGCCGUUCUCCACGCGGUCCGAUGGGAAAGGGAGGCCCUGAGCCGCAACGAGUAAGUAGAUAGUCAGCAGGACCACGUGGACGCGGCCAACCACAGGUCACACUUCGGAUGGGAGCAGGACCCGGCGCCCAUCCCUCAGGACCGCCGAGAGCCGGGCCCUCUGGGCCGCAGGUGCCGCUACCUUAGCCAUGGAGCCGCAGCAGAGGAGGCCGGCGCUGGAAUUGCAGGCUCGUCCUGGCUGCCCCGCCGCACUCCUCUCACGGAAGUGGCUGUGCCGGAGGCGCGAGAACAGAACUCUGUUCAGACGCUCGCGUACUCGGAGAAUGGAGCCUGGAGACCUGGUUCACACCCGCUAUGUGUUUAAAUGGAUAAAACCCUCCUCAGGUCUGUGAGCCUCCAAACAAGGUCCCCACUGCCAUCUGCUGGCCCCACAGACAAGAACCCACACAGGAAUGAAGCCCAAAAUAUCCCAUAAACUUUCCAAAGAGAAAUGACAAAACUGAAAUAGUAGUGGUGUCAAAACACAGUGUAUUUCUCAGCCCAAUGAAGCUGGGAUGGGUGGCCCAGGGAGCCCCAGACUUCAUGGAUAGGCUUUUCGUUCACAUGGCUCAACAUGGCACCCCAGAUCCAGCCAUCACAUCUGCACUCCAGCCAGCAGAAAGGAGGCAGGGCCCUCUCCUUCAAGGAUGCCUCCCAAGAGUUGUGUUGCCACAGCUGCUCACAUCCCAUUGGCUAGAACGUGGUCAUACGACCCACCUCACUGCAAGGGAGGCUGGGAAAUGUAGUCUUUAAUCUGUGAAAUGUGCCCGCUUCAAACGGAGCCAUGGAGGAAGAAGGACUAGCGAUCUGGGGGGUAGGGGCUGGGUGGGCGAAAGGCUGUGCCUCCCUCGGUGGCGUCAACAUCCUGGCCAUGUUGUCACAUGCACUUGCUGGCAAAAUUCCCAAGCCAUGCGCUCACAGUUUGUGCAGUGAUGAGUGUGGCAAACCAGCUCAGUUAAAAAUAAACAUUAUUUUAUAGAUUAGCUGAAGAAUACAAUGUCCCACGAGACUAUGUGGCCAUCAGGAAAUUAACUUUUCUGACCUAAUGGCCCAGGAAGCACUGCGGGCAGCGUCUCGCCCCGUGUAACGCAGCACCCGCAGAAGUGCCCGGGAUCAGCCUUUGCCUCGGCGGGAUCCUGGUUCCUGGUUCUUCCAAGGGCAUGGCGAGGUCCCCGCUCCCUUAUCUUGAGGAAAGUAAUAAGUAACCCAGCUCUUUCAACUCCCAAGGUUACUUUGUCAAUAAAGUGCGCCUUCUCAAGUCUU